rnacentral:rRNA from 1 species
GAUGAACGCUGGCGGCGUGCCUAAUACAUGCAAGUCGAGCGAACAGACGAGGAGCUUGCUCCUCUGACGUUAGCGGCGGACGGGUGAGUAACACGUGGAUAACCUACCUAUAAGACUGGGAUAACUUCAGGAAACCGGAGCUAAUACCGGAUAAUAUAUUGAACCGCAUGGUUCAAUAGUGAAAGACGGUUUUGCUGUCACUUAUAGAUGGAUCCGCGCCGCAUUAGCUAGUUGGUAAGGUAACGGCUUACCAAGGCAACGAUGCGUAGCCGACCUGAGAGGGUGAUCGGCGACACUGGAACUGAGACACGGUCCAGACUCCUACGGGAGGCAGCAGUAGGGAAUCUUCCGCAAUGGGCGAAAGCCUGACGGAGCAACGCCGCGUGAGUGAUGAAGGUCUUCGGAUCGUAAAACUCUGUUAUUAGGGAAGAACAAAUGUGUAAGUAACUAUGCACGUCUUGACGGUACCUAAUCAGAAAGCCACGGCUAACUACGUG